AUUUCAAUGGCUGUGGCCCCAAAUCCAUGUAUUCCAUAGCUUGAAAUCAUGGAAUUCCAUGCAACAACAUCCCUCUUGCCCAUCUGAUCAAACACUCUUCGUCCCAAUUCUAGAGCACCACACCUGGCAUACAUUGUCACAAGGGCACUGAGAACGGGCAAAAUAGAGUCUAGCCCUUUCCUAUUUAUGUAGGCAUACAUUGUCACAAGGGCACUGAUAACGGGCAAAAUAGAGUCAAGCCCUUUCCUAAUUAUGUAUCCAUGUAAUAGCUUCCCCUGCUCUAGUGCAGCCAGUGCUGCACAAGCUUGAAGAACACUAACCAUAGUUACU
rnacentral:lncRNA from 1 species